AUGGUUGCAAUUGCGACGGUCCAUUCAAUCAACAUCACUCUGCUUUCCCAGUAUUCAGUAGCCUUUGGUGACUGGGUCAGGUCUCUUCGGCAACUGGCACCAAAUGGACGGUACAUGGUAAACCUCUCGGUGAUUCACGACUGGCCUCAUACGCUGAACAUGAUCCCGUCUCUAAGGGUUAUCAGUCUUAGUGGUUGUUCGCUUCAGAGCGCAAACCAAUCGCUUCCGUACCUCAAUCUUACAAGACUUGAGAAGCUUGAUCUUUCCUCGAACAAUUUUGACCACUCAAUUGCAAAUAGUUGGUUUUGGAAAGCCACAAGCCUCAAGUACCUCAAUCUUCAGGCCAACAGAUUAUCCGGCCAAUUUCCCGACGCACUAGGAAACAUGACAUCCCUUCAAGUCCUUGACGUGUCAACAAAUUGGAACAAGUACUUGAUGAUGACAGGAAACCUGAAGAAUCUUUGCAGUCUGAACAUUCUAGACUUCAGCAAUAAUGAAAUAAAUGGAGAUAUAGCAGCCAUGAUGGGGGGUUUGCCAGAAUGCGCAUGGGAAUCUUUGCAAGAGCUAGAUUUCAGCUACAACAGUUUCACUGGAACAUUGCCAAAUUUGAUAGGUACAUCCAGCAGCUUGAGCGGACUUAAGCUCAACAACAACAACCUCACCGGAAGUAUACCACCGGGCAUUGGGUAUUUAACAUGCUUAGCUGCCCUUGACCUUUCGAACAACCGCUUCAGUGGAAACGUACCCUUUGAAAUUGGUUCCCUAACUAAUCUAUCUUCUUUGGAUCUAAGCAACAACAACUUCAGUGGUAUUGUGCCUUCUGAAAUUGGCGCCCUUAGUGAUCUGACUUCUUUGGUCCUAAGCAAGAACAACUUUAGUGGUGUGAUCACGGAAACACAUUUUGCAGGUCUAAAAGGUUUAAAGAACAUAGACCUGUCUUCCAAUAGUUUGAAGAUUGAAGUAGAUUCCAACAAUUCCUUUUCAGGGACACUGCCAUCAAAUCUUGAAGCUGUGCAACUGCAAACAUUAAUCAUGUAUUCAAAUCAAAUUGGUGGUAGCAUUCGAGAAUCUAUGUGUAAACUACAAAUGCUGGGAGAUCUAGAUUUAUCAAGCAAUCUUUCGAAGGGUGGAAUUCCUCAGUGCUUUGAGAACAUAUCCAUAUCGCACCUACUAUUAAGCAACAAUAGUUUAUCGGGUACAUUCCCAACAUUUCUGCAGAAUCGAAACAGUCUCGAGUUUCUUGAUCUUGCAUGGAAUAAGUUCUAUGGAAGGAUACCAACAUGGAUAGGAGAGCUCACAGGAUUACGGUUUGUGCGACUAAGUCACCACAGGUUCUCUGGGACUAUUCCUGCUGAAAUAACGGCUCUUAGUUAUGUUCAAUACUUGGAUCUAUCAGGAAAUAACAUAUUUGGUGUUAUACCUUUGCAUUUGUCAAACCUAACAGGUAUGAUCAGGAAGGGCUUCAUACCUAUAUCCAGUACAAGUAUUGCUCCAGCUGGCUUGGGUUCAGUAACUGUAACAGGUCAAUUUGGAGCGAUCUUGUCAAUAAUCACAAAUGGGCAAGAGCUUAAAUAUGGCGGCACCCUUGCAUAUUUUGUGAGCAUUGAUUUAUCCGGCAACUCCUUAACUGGUGAAAUUCCCACGGAUAUCUCUUCCCUUGAUGCACUGAUAAAUCUGAAUUUGUCAUCAAACCACCUGAGAGGAAACAUUCCUACCAAGAUUGGCGACCUACGGUCAUUAGAGUCUCUUGACCUCUCUCGGAACAAGCUUUCCGGUGAAAUCCCGUCGAGCUUGUCAAGUUUGACAUCUCUGAGCUAUUUGAACAUGUCUUAUAAUAGUUUGUCUGGAAGGAUACCAUCAUGCCACCAACUUGACACCCUAAGUGCCGACAACCCAGCACUUAUGUACAUUGGCAACAACGGACUUUGUGGGCCUCCUCUUCAUAAGAAUUGUUCAGGAGAUACCAUUGUCCAUGAUCAUCUUGGAAGCAGCAACCAGGAAUUUGAGCCGCUGACCUUCUAUUUUGGUCUUGUGCUGGGACUUGUAGCGGGUCUCUGGAUAACCAGCAAGGAAAAAGGGUGGUCGACUGGUGGCGGUGCAACGCAAGUGCCGGCCGGAGGUAUUGAUCGGCGGCGAGGGGACGACAGUGGUCGCCCGUCCGGCGGCUGGGCAGCCGCGUACGAGAGUAUGGAGGAGUCACGACGGUGGGCAAGGGCGUAA
rnacentral:rRNA from 1 species